UGAGCAAUCUGCCCUUCUCAUCGGAAUAAGCGUUGGAAACGACGUCUAAUGCCGAAUACGACCUCCUUUCGCAUGAUCGGAGGUGGAAAGCUCCGGCGGAGAAGGAUGAGCUCGCGGCCUAUCAGCUAGUUGGUGUGGGUAAUGGCCCACCAAGGCGACGACGGGUAGCCGGCCUGAGAGGGUGACCGGCCACACUGGGACUGGGACACGGCCCAGACUCCUACGGGAGGNAGCG
rnacentral:rRNA from 1 species